UGCGUAGUCAAAAAUAAUGGAGGGAAAUUUUUGAUGAAAUUUUUCUACUUUUACUUUAGCGGAUAAUGGCCACAGUAAUUUUUGAAUUUUUAUGUACGCGGGAAAUUAAAAAACUGGCGGGAGAGAUUUAAAAAUUUGGAAUUUAUUUUCGCAGCGCGACUUCGCAGUUCAGAAUUACGCGGGAAAUUGAAAAACUGGCGGGAGAGAUUCAAAAAUUUGAAAUAAGAAAUUUUUGGAAAACCCAUAACACAAUCGAUUUUUAACACUGGUAUUUUAGGUCUCAAUCGAUGGCAAUCGAUCCUAUCAGCGACUCAAGUACUUUUAUACAGUGUGGAACUGACGAGUG